GAUGAACGCUGACAGAAUGCUUAACACAUCAGCAAUUGUUUGGUGGCGGACGGGUGAGUAACGCGUAAAGAACUUACCUCACAGUUAGGGACAACAUUUGGAAACGAAUGCUAAUACCUAAUACUGUGAGAGAGCUUUGCGUCCCAUUAGCUAGUUGGAGAGGUAACGGCCCACCAAGGCGAUGAUGGGUAGCCAGCCUGAGAGGGUGAUCGGCCACAAGGGGACUGGGACACGGCCCUUACGCCUACGGGGGGCAGCAGUGGGGAAUAGUGGACGAUGGACCAAAGUCUGAACCAGCAAUUCUGUGUGCACGAUGAAGUUUUCGGAAUGUAAAGUGCUUUCAGUUGGGGAGCGGUACCAACAGAAGAAGUGACGGCUAAAUACGUGCCAGCAGCCGCGGUAAUAC
rnacentral:rRNA from 1 species